GUUUUAUUAAGUUUCAGACAGUGACGGAUGGCUGAAAUAUGCAAAUACCUGUGAAAAUAGAGGAAAAAGUCGUUUCUGACACUGAAAAGCGAAUUUAACAUUUAAGUGAGUCAAAUGAGUUCAAAAAGUGAAUACGACUUUCUGCUCUAAUGUAAUCGCCUGCAGUUGUCCAUAUCGACAUGUAAAUCAUACAAAUUACGUACAAUAUAGUCGGACUGCAGGUCUAAAAGAACCGACGAUCCAGUUCAAAUAAACCGGUUCAGUAAUUCUCGGAACAAAUUUCCCGGAAAAGAAUCGACGUCUCAGGGCAUUUCAAAGUGCGCGCACGCACAGCGAUUGACUUAGGACGCGUUAGUGAGGUGUUUUGAUGCUUUUGUGGUUUAUAAAGUCUUUUUACAUACAAAUUAUAAUUCAAAAUGUGUUUUUUUUUUCUGUCAGAAAAGCACAUGGAUACAUUUGUGAGAGAAUAACUCGUCGAGUGCAGUCUUAUUGAUGCGUCUAACGGCUGGAACAAACAUGGCAUUCCUUAACCGAGCAGAGUCCACAAAACCCCAUCCAAUUGUCAUGGCGAUUUAAAAAUGCCAGCAGAUCUCUCAGGAAUUGAUCAUAAUCAAUGGACAGGUCACCGUAGCCACCCGUAUCCAGUACACAUCCAGAUCAGAUGGUGGAUCAGCACCUAGAAAGGACCUCUACAUCCCUGAAAGACAGCGGAGACCAGGACAACUAGAGCCCCAGAUACAGAUCCCCUGUAAAGACCUUGUCUCAGAGGAGCACCAGGACAAGACCAUAGUAAACAGAUGAUUUUUCUGCACAAUCUGACUUUGCUGCCUGGAAUUGAACUACUGGUUUCGUCUGGUCAGAGGAGAACUGACCCCCAACUGAACCUGGUUUCUCCCAAGGUUUUUUUCUCCAUUCUGUCACCGAUGGAGUUUUGGUUCCUUGGUUUUCCUUAGUUGGGGACAAUUAAUAUCAAGCCAUAUCAUCGACUUCAUCGCACAGAGGGACGAUACAUCACUGAAUCAAUGAUGAACUGACUUUAACUGAAAACUGAGUGUUGACUGUUGUCCCUUUGCAUUAUUACACACAAUUUUCCUAUUUAAUACUUUAAAGCUGCUAUGAUGCAGUAUUUGAUCAAUAUGAGAGGCUUAUUACUCAUAAUAAAUGGAAAAUACAGCUGCAAACAGACUUUGCUUUUCCAUUUGAAAUU